rnacentral:rRNA from 1 species
AACCUUACCUGGGUUAAAUCCACUCGAACCUUGCGGAGACGUGAGGGUGCUCUUCGGAGAGCGAGUGAGAAGGUGCUGCAUGGCUGUCGUCAGCUCGUGUCGUGAGAUGUUGGGUUAAGUCCCGCAACGAGCGCAACCCUUGUCUUUAGUUGCUAACGGUUCGGCCGAGCACUCUAGAGAGACUGCCGACGUUAAGUCGGAGGAAGGUGGGGAUGACGUCAAGUCCUCAUGGCCCUUAUGCCCAGGGCUACACACGUGCUACAAUGGCCGGUACAAAGGGCUGCGAGCUCGCAAGAGUAAGCCAAUCCCAAAAAACCGGUCUCAGUUCGGAUAGGAGUCUGCAACUCGACUCCUUGAAGUCGGAAUCGCUAGUAAUCGCGGAUCAGCACGCCGCGGUGAAUACGUUCCCGGGCCUUGUACACACCGCCCGUCACACCAUGGGAGUCAGUUGCUCCAGAAACGGGUUGCCUAACCGCAAGGAGGGCGCUCUUUAAGGAGUGACUGGUAACUGGGGUGAAGUCGUAACAAGGUAGGCGUAGUGCU